rfam:Gorilla gorilla gorilla genomic chromosome, chr3, whole genome shotgun sequence
GGGAAACAGGAAGAGGGGCCAGCCUCAGGCCCCCCAACAAACUGGGGCA